GUGUAGCAGUCAGCCAGCCACUCACAUUACCAACACAGUCUGGCGGUGAAACUCAAACUUUUGUGAUCCCGCUAUACCUUGGUUUUGUCUUUUGGAGCUUUAAUACAUCAAGGGAUGCACCGAAUAAAGACGCAAAAAAUCAUUACAACCGACGGUUAGAGACUGUUUAGUUCUGCAUCGCAUGUCUUCGAUGAGAAGAGGAAGGGUGAU